ensembl:snRNA U1 U1 spliceosomal RNA
AUGCUUACCUGGCAGACAAGAUAACGUGAUUACGAAGGUGGUUUUCCCAGGGCGAGACUUAUCCACUGCACUCCGGCUGUGCUGACCCCUGCGACUUCCCCAAACCUGGGAAACUCCAUCGCAUGAUCUGUGGCAUUAGGAGUCAGCCUUCACUCUUACUCCUG